rnacentral:lncRNA from 1 species
AGAGCAAUCCUGUACCGAGCUGGCCAGUCGAGAACUCCAGAGAUUUUUGUGCUGGGGUGGUGCAGGACGUCGCCCAAGCUGCCAUUUGGUACGUACUCAUAUACUAACAGGUUGGUUUCUCCAUUCGAGCAGCAGCAGAGAAGCCUAACGAUGUUGAAGUGUCGAAUUCUUCCCAGGAUGUUAACCUCAGUGUUGAAGCCGUAGUCGUUCCGGAUCUCCGCUUUGUCACAGGACCACAGCUUUUUUAUUGCGAGGUGGCUAUACUCGUUGUUGCUCUUUAACGUUGCCUUGUAAACUUUUCCAGCACCUCCGCUGCCGAUGACAUUUUCUUCGUCCAACGAUCUCAUAACGUCGUCCAUCGUGAACGUGAGUUUUUGGAACGGGGUCAUUGUCCAUGGCUCCUCCUUGCACCCGUCCCUCGUUUUCGAUGGCUGAUGGCAUCUUUUGUACAGAUAGUAUGAGCACAGGGCUGACGCUGCCGCUGCCGACGCAAGAACACUUCCUGCUAUCCAGGCCAUCAUGCCAGGUUGUUUGCGGAGUCUAGAGGAAUCCGCUUGGCAGUUC